UCCCUGGUGGUUCAGUGGCUGACUUCAUCCUCCUAAUGCAGAGGGCCCAGGUUCAAUUCCUGGUCAGGGAA
rnacentral:tRNA from 1 species